GUCUCUUUGUUUUUAUAUAUAAAGAGUUGGACCUGCUCGGUGAAUAAUAUAUUUUAACAGCUGCGGUAUUUUAACUGUACUAAGGUAGCAUAAUAAUUUGCCUUAUAAAUUGAGGCUGGAAUGAAUGGUUUGACGAGGGUUUAUCUGUCUCUAUUUUAUUUAUUAGAAUUUAAUUUUUAUAGUGAAAAAGCUUAAAUAGUUUAAAGGGACGAGAAGACCCUAAUGAGCUUAAAUUUAAUAGUGCUAAAAUUAUAAGUUAAUAGGAUUAUGAAAAUUUUAAUUGGGGUGAUUAAGGGAUAAUUUAUUAAAUAAUAACUUCCUUAAAUAUAAUAUUGUUGAAUUAAUUAACCAAUUUAUAUUGCUUAUAGUAUAGUUACCAUAGGGAUAACAGCGUAAUUUAUUUAGAGAGUUCAUAUUGAAAAAUAAGAUUGCGACCUCGAUGUUGGAUUAAGGUUACCUUAAGGUGCAGAAGCUUUAAUAGGUAAAUCUGUUCGAUUUUAACUU
rnacentral:rRNA from 1 species